GAUGAUGGUUGGAUUGACUCUCCGGACUUGGCCAAAUUUGAAGCUAUGUUUACGUGUGACAAUCGGGCGACAAGUUGGAAAUCAAAAGAAUCUCCACCGCCACCGAAAAGUUGGCCCGAAAUUUAUUCAUCUGGCCUGACAACUUUCUGGCAUUGGAAAGAAUCCAAUGCGGUUGGUAAAACUUAUUAGGCGCAGUCAAGCAUGGCCUGCAAAUUGGUACACCUUGACGCUUCACUGGCUCCGCAGAUUCGAGGAUACGAGGAUUCCGCCAAAGCUUUAAGGCCAAGACAAAAGGCGGCCAAAAGGACAGCCAGCGGCGGGUUGAGAUACUUGGGCAGAUACAGAUACUUAGCGGCGAUAAAGACAAACGCUUGAUUAUGAGAAGUCAACCCAUGGCUGCGGAAUUUAUUUGUGUUGUAUAUUUAUUUAUGAGCUUGUCCCUCUCGCCGAGCAGAAACAAAAGAAGCCAGUGCCCAGAACUCGCAACCCAAAUCCCCGGCAGAAUCACUCAAGUGCGAACGGAAACGGGCGCCCAGAACUUCAGAACUUGGUCCUGCCAUCGGGCAGGAAAUCAGCGAUUAAGCAACCAACUAACCAGUAACCAGUGAGUCAGUCACCAGUUGUUACUUGGGGAGCACAGAAAGAAAUAUUGGAAAUAGAUUGACUUAGGAUGUGCAAGCUCUUCAAAUCCCUGCCCUCGGGGCCUCUUCGCGAAUGGAAGUGUGUAAUUUUUGGUAUUAAUUGCUCGGUCUCGCAAAACUUUCCGGCUUCCAGUUAGCCCCAUCAGUUGAAAUAAUAACAAUGCCAGAAGGAUCGAAAAUCGUGGCGGAGGAGGAGGAGCAACUGGACACGCCCACCGACAAUUGGCAGGGCGGCUAUUUCAAUCUCCUCCCCGGACUGAACCCCUCUGAAAAGAAAGAGGGAGGAGGGACCUUUAGGAGGUGGUUUCCGAAUGGAGGAUUUAACAUAUUGACUAUGACCUUUUGUUGGCUGUUUGCCGUUUGCUGUUUGUUGUUUGCUACGGCGGCAGUUCGAAAUUUAUGCUCACAUGGCGCCUUCGAUAAGAUCGAGAACUCCGUGCUGAAAGUAAAUUUCUUCCCCUCAGCCAUUCAAGUCCCCACUUCCCUUUCGGCACCAGCAAGAGCAAGGACAUGUCGCUGAAAGCAUUAUCAAAUAUUAUGCAUAUUUUGUGAGCUCCAAUAUACAA